rnacentral:rRNA from 1 species
UACGUAGGGGGCCAGCGUUGUCUGAAGUUACUGGGCGUAAAGAGCGCGUAGGCGGGUCUUUUUAAGUGAGGGGUGAAAGGUUCAGGGCUCAACCCGGACACUGCCUUUCAUACUGGGGACCUUGAGUGUGGGAGAGGCGAGUGGAAUUCUUGGUGUAGCGGUGAAAUGCGUAGAUAUCAAGAGGAACACCCAUGGCGAAGGCAGCUCGCUGGCCUAUAACUGACGCUGAGGCGCGAAAGCUGGGGGGAGCAAACAGG